rnacentral:misc_RNA from 1 species
CAUUGCCAUGGCCAUUUGACCCAUGUAAUUGGCAACAUUCCCAGAUGACCCUGAAGGUCCAAGAGACCCUGCCAGGGUCUCAGCCAAUGACUGUUGCAGUGAUUCAAUUCCCUGAGAUAAAGCAUCUUCAGCCAGUUGGGAUGACUGUUGCAAGUUGUUGAUUGCCAACGAUUGUUGAUCAGUUAAAGGCUCCAACUGAUUAAUG